rnacentral:rRNA from 1 species
UACGAAGGGAGCUAGCAUUGUUCGGAAUCACUGGGCGUAAAGCGCACGUAGGCGGAUGUGUCAGUCAGGGGUGAAAUCCCGGAGCUCAACUUCGGAACUGCCUUUGAUACAGCACGUCUUGAGUCCGGAAGAGGUGGGUGGAAUUCCUAGUGUAGAGGUGAAAUUCGUAGAUAUUCGGAAGAACACCAGUGGCGAAGGCGGCUCACUGGACCGGUAUUGACGCUGAGGUGUGAAAGCGUGGGGAGCAAACAGG